CCUACGGGGGGCAGCAGUGGGGAAUAUUGGACAAUGGGGGGAACCCUGAUCCAGCCAUGCCGCGUGUGUGAAGAAGGCCCUCGGGUUGUAAAGCACUUUCAGUGAGGAAGAACGCCUGGUGGUUAAUACCCAUCAGGAAAGACAUCACUCACAGAAGAAGCACCGGCUAACUCCGUGCCAGCAGCCGCGGUAAUACGGAGGGUGCGAGCGUUAAUCGGAAUUACUGGGCGUAAAGCGCGCGUAGGUGGCUUGAUAAGCCGGUUGUGAAAGCCCCGGGCUCAACCUGGGAACGGCAUCCGGAACUGUCAAGCUGGAGUGCAGGAGAGGAAGGUAGAAUUCCCGGUGUAGCGGUGAAAUGCGUAGAGAUCGGGAGGAAUACCAGUGGCGAAGGCGGCCUUCUGGACUGACACUGACACUGAGGUGCGAAAGCGUGGGUAGCAAACAGGAUUAGAUACCCUGGUAGUC
rnacentral:rRNA from 1 species